AUCGGGCCUGCUCAUGAUUUAUAUUAAAUAGCCGCAGUAUUUUGACUGUGCAAAGGUAGCAUAAUCAUUUGUCUUUUAAUUGUAGACUGGAAUGAAUGGUUUGAUGAAAAAUAUACUUUCUUUGUUUUAUAUAAAAAAAUUAACUUUUUAGUUAAAAGGCUAAAAUGUUAUUAAAAGACGAGAAGACCCUAUAGAACUUUAUUGCUAUUGUUUAUAUAUAAUUCUUAUAAUUUAUAUAUAGGUAAAUAGUUAUUUUCGUUGGGGUGAUGGAAAAAAAUUAAUAACUUUUUUUAAUAUUUACAUUUAUAUAUGUUUUUUGAUCCAAAAUUUUUGAUUAUAAGAUUAAGUUACCUUAGGGAUAACAGCGUUAUUACUUUGGAGAGUUCUUAUUGAUAAAGUAGUUUGCGACCUCGAUGUUGGAUUAAAAUAAGUUUUAGGUGUAGCGGUUUGAUUACUAAGUC
rnacentral:rRNA from 1 species